rnacentral:lncRNA from 13 species
ACUUCCUCUCAAUCCCGUUCCAAGUAACGAGACCUGGAGGGAUGACUCUACUCCAACCAGCUCUGAUAGAGCCUUUGCACUGUAUACCAGGGCUACUGUCCACAAGCAACUCCUCAUGGUCUCUUGAGCUCGUCUUCCAAUAGUAGUGCUUUGAUGAAACAGAAUCCUAUACCUACCCAGUUGUCAUUACCUAUCCAGACUGUUCAUUUGAGGGUCAGGGCCGAGGGGAAGGACUAGGGAGGGGUUGAGGACUGUCUGUUGAGCUCCAGUAGUAAUGUGAUGAUCCAGCGUUACACUGCUUAUACCUAUCAAGACCCUUCAGAUCUGCCAACACCCAAGGGUUAGUGCCAAGGUCCUUAUCUUAUGCUAGGUGGCGUCACUCCUACACGAUGCCCCGCCCCUAAACUGACAGUCAUCGCAUGACAUGACAUAAGACAAUGGGGGAGGGUUAGGGAGUGAUUUGGGACUGGCUGUUAGUCUGGUGAGUAGCCGAUGCUAUCCGUAAUGCAGUCCUUAGGUCUGGAGUAUCUAGGACCGUCUCAUCUCCCAUCUCCGCUAGAGUAGGGUGAAGUUGCCCCUAGAUGCUGAUCUUGGGUCAGUUUAGUAUUUUCCCCCACUACUGGUUACAGAUAGGAUUGAGGGAGGGGGAAAUGAUCCAAGAUCUGUACCUAGGGGAAACUUACCCCCCCCCCCGGUGCCAUCUCACUGACUGAAUACAACCAUGGUUUCAGUGUUUUCUCCACAGUAUGUAGGUCAUGAGGAGGACGAGGCCUGCGGACAGAGCUGCUAUGACACACUGGUGGAUGGUGAGGACGCUCUCCAGGUUGCCGAUGCGUUCCUCCAUGGCACUGGUGUGGAAGUAGUCAUAGACCCCGGCCCCGAUGCUCCACACGGCCCACACAGCAUCCACGAUCAGGGGCAUGGUAGGUCGUCAGAGGGGCUGAGGCUGGUGCUGAGGCUGGGGAGGGGACCCAGGGAUGUCACAGGGGUGGGACUUCAGGGUCUCUCCAGCCUCUCCCGGGUUCCUCCUGCAGUAGUGCUGAUUUCAAGCUUUCCUCACCUGCAAAGGAACGGUUGGGAAUGUAGUUUUACCAGGUUAUAUAUAAAUGCAAUAUUAUGAAUAUAGAAUGGAAUAUGAAAUUCAGUUGCGGUAAGUAACAUAGGUAGGCUAAUCUGUUGUAUCUAAAUGAGAACUGGCAUGGUCAAAAAAGUGAAACACGCACACGUAUGAUCUUAUAGAACACAUUUCACUGCCCUGAUUCAGGGAACCUGAAUAAUACUGUGUGUUCCACGGAACACACAUGUGGAACUUAGCUUCGUUUCAAAGCUCAGGCUAACAACAUUGUAACGUUAUUGUAGCUAGCUAACAACAUUGUAAUGUUAUUGUAGCUAGCUAACAACAUUGUAAUGGUAUUGUAGCUAGCUAACAACAUGGUAAUGGUAUUGUAGCUAGCUAACAACAUGGUAAUGGUAUUGUAGCUAGCUAACAACAUUGUAAUGGUAUUGUAGCUAGCUAACAACAUUGUAAUGGUAUUGUAGCUAGCUAACAACAUUGUAAUGGUAUUGUAGCUAGCUAACAACAUGGUAAUGGUAUUGUAGCUAGCUAACAACAUGGUAAUGGUAUUGUAGCUAGCUAACAACAUUGUAAUGGUAUUGUAGCUAGCUAACAACAUUGUAAUGGUAUUGUAGCUAGCUAACAACAUGGUAAUGGUAUUGUAGCUAGCUAACAACAUGGUAAUGGUAUUGUAGCUAGCUAACAACAUGGUAAUGGUAUUGUAGCUAGCUAACAACAUUGUAAUGGUAUUGUAGCUAGCUAACAACAUGGUAAUGUUAUUGUAGCUAGCUAACAACAUUGUAAUGUUAUUGUAGCUAGCUAACAACAUUGUAAUGGUAUUGUAGCUAGCUAACAACAUUGUAAUGUUAUUGUAGCUAGCUAACAACAUUGUAACUUGUUACAGUGCGGUGCACAUAUCAGACAGAUAAUAGUAUUAGGACCAUAUGUAUUCGAACAAAAUGCCAUGAAUUUGCAACCUUCGGUGACCACUUUUGACAAUGACACCGGUACAGAACUGGAUGUACUGUAUUGAUCUCAUAUAGUUAGCUAGCCAGCUACAUCUUUGCUGAGCUAGGAACAUGCCUAGGACUUACCAAAAUGACCCACGCGCACAGGUUAAAAUGAGCCACGCUUGCAAUCUGCAUCCAAGUUCUCUAUCUAGCUAUAAAUCACAUAAUCGUCAACAUAUAACGUUUGAAUGGUCGAGAUACCAAACCGAGCUAGCAACAUGAUCCUUAGCUUAGUCACCCAGUACAUCCGGGUGCAGUGCUACAUUCAGGAACACGUGGACAGGGCGUGUCCUAAAAUAGCGUCAUUUACAAUCGAUCACUGCUGAUAAUAAACACAAUACGUAUCCGGCAUCAUCAUCAUCAUCAUCCUAUUUUGCUUUCUAGCGGCUAAAGUCACAUUUUGAAAACGACCCGUGUAGCUAACUUCCAGUAGCUAGCUACCAACGUCAGUUUUAGCUAAGCUUAGCUAAGUGGUCAACUGGAAGAUGACACGGUGUGUCUUGGUUUGGAGAUGUAUGUUUGAGAUUGCUCGUCAUAAAAACGUGCUACUAUCAAUAAACAUAUUUGUAUCAUCCAUAACAUUUUCCAAACGGAUUCAGUCAAUUGGCAGCAAAAAGGUUUGAAAACUCAUAUUUUUCCUUCGCACUAUUACCAGGCGCGGUGGCCAAGUGGUAAGGCGUCGGUCUCGUAAACCGAAGAUCGCGGGCUCGAUCCCCGUCCGUGCCUCGGAAACGAAGUCCACGGUGGACACAUUUUUAAAACGGGACAGUUCCAUCGUGAUACUUCAUGGUGAUAUUUGAUACAUAUUUCAAACUCAAUAUUAAGUUAAUGCGUUGAUAAAACGUUUAAAUCUCAACCAUGUAAAAGUUAUAUGCUAAAAGACUUCUCAUACAUAAAUGGUGUUCAUCAAGACAAUAAAUUGUAGACAUCAAGGUAAAAACAAGUUUAGAGCUAAAACAAAUCUAGGAGAAAUCAAAGUUAAACAGUUUAACAGCUAAAAAUCUUAAACUUUUGUUUCAGACGUUUAUUUGGCACGCCCC